rnacentral:misc_RNA from 1 species
ACUGCCGCCACAGCCGCUCCC